AGAGCCACGUUUCGGUUUAGAAUUCCUACGCUUUACCGUGUGAAAGGCUGGCAAAGCGUUUGGAUUCUGAAUCGAACCUUUG
rnacentral:pre_miRNA from 1 species